ensembl:lncRNA
GGAGCGGGGAGAGGAGGAGGGAGCCCACAGAUGAGGAGCUGGAAGGGCCAGGGCCGGGAGCGGCCUGGUGUCACCCUGUUACAUGCUCGCACCACGCCCUUGCGGCAGCGGGAUAGCCUCCAUGCUUGUCUGCAGGGUCAACAGGAAUCACAACACAGAGCGCUAGCUCCCCGACUCCACAGGGUUCAAGUGUGAGCGAGAGGCACUGAAAGCGUGGAGGGUACAGGAAGAGUGAGACGGGGACGCUGUUGCUAGGGACCCAGCUCCCCGCUCCUGGAGGGACGACACUUUUCAGGUGGCAAAGUUCCUUUCACUACACACUAUAAAAGACUUUCCAGGCAGAGCUCCGACGUGCUGUAUGACUUUGGACAAGACACAUACCCUCUCUGGGCCUCAGAGAUGCAUGAGAGACCAAAGCAGGCACAGGGAGAGGACCAGAGAUGCUCAGAGCGAGGCUCCUGCUCUGCUUCCUCUGCCCAGCUCAGGGAGGGCCUUGGGAAUGAAGCCCCCGCCCCCACCCCGCCCCAUGUUCCAGAUGAGGACAUCGAGGGUGCGGACUUGCUCCUCCAAGCCCAGCACUGGACGGCCGGACAGUCCUCCCAGGAGGCACAGCUCUGAAGCCCAGGGCGCUGGUUCAGAUCGUCGUGCGGCCACUUCCUGAUCCUGUGACUCAGGGAAGUCACGUGACUCUCCAGGACUCAGUUUCCCUGUCUGUAUAAUAGGGAUCCUGUACCCGGCUCUCCCUGGCUGGCCAGCUGGGUCAGGGGUGAUGUGUUAGUUCGAGACGUAUGAAUCCUGGUGUUUGGCCAUCUCUGACCCAUCCUUCGGAUCAGCGCUUCUAAAACCACUGUGCACAUGCGUAACGGGGGUCUUCUUAAAGUGCAGACUCGGACUCGGCAGGUCGGAGGUAGGCCUGGCACUGUGCAUUCCUAACAGGCCCCCAGGGGAAGCGGCUGCCGCUGGUCCACGGUCCACACUUGGAGGAUCAAUGGUGUAGAUCUGGACCAUGAGGAAAACGUAACAACUGUACUGUGUGCUGAGUGCCUGGCUGUGCCAGGCAUUGGGCUGGCACCUUUAUACCCAUCCUCACAUCCGAUCCUCACAGCAACCCUGCAAGGGAAAUGUGGUCAUCCUCAGUCUACAAUGAGGAAGCUGAGGCUCAGAGAGGUCAAUGCCCUGCCCAGGGACACACAGCCAAUAAGUGGCACAGCCAGGUGUCAAAGCCAGGCCUGUGAGGCGUCCCCACCAGGGUCCUCGUCCAUCCAUCCAAACCUUUGCAGAGGCUCACGAUCCUUGCCGCCAAGAAGCUCACAGCCCUGGCGGGGACCUAAGAUACACCCAGGACACGGAGACAUCCUUAGGUGGCCUCCAGGCAGCGGUGGGAAAGGACACCUUGCUACUUUUGGGAACUCACCCGUGAGCAAAGCUCCCCAGAGGGCACAUUGGACAACGGAGGAAGUGGGUGGGAGCUGGGUUGGCAACCUGGGACCAUGCUGGGAGAGGACAGCAUGAGGGGGGGUCCACUACUCCUUGUGAACCCCAAACUUGCCCAACUCCCUUCUCUCCUACCCACCUGCUUCCCUCCCUCUCCUACUGAACACACUUCAGAGUCCCCGCCUGGGCUACUUGCCCCCAGCAGAGGACGGCCAGGGGUCCCUGGAGGUGGCAGAACUGAAUGUCACCCCAUUUCUGUCCCUGACUCGCUGUGUGACAUUGGGUAAGUCACAUGAUGUCUCUGAACCUCAGAUGUUCCCUCUGAACACCAUGCUUGUACUGUGGGGACAGGUCUUGAAGAUAAAGGCCGUGUCAGACCUUCUACCAAAGGGGAGCUUCCCAAUGGCGGUGGGACAAGAUGGGGACUCGGGGUGGUAGGACGAGGCAAGGGAGAGGAGAGGACAAGGCCGCUCACCUUCCAUCUCGAGGGUCCCUGUCCAGUGUCAGCUCAGCCCGGUGGGCAGUGAGAGGAAGCUCCUUUAGCCAGCGGUCGGGCCUAAUGCCCACCAGAGGGCCCUCCCCAGACAGGGGCGGAGCUUGGUGAAAAUCUGUGGGUGAACUGGGCAGUGGUGUGUUUUCAUCUCUGCUGGGUCUGGGAGACGGGUGUCGAGGUCCAAAGAGGGAUGCUGGCACCAGGCUGCCCAGGUCCAAACGCCAGCUCUGCCCUGACUGACCCUUGACCUUGCAAAGCUGCUUCAGACGUUGGUUUGCCCCAUCUGUAAAACUGGGCUGGUGGGGGGCGGUCACACUCCUCUCUCACGGGCACGUUGUGAGGCUUAACUGAGUUAUCAGACCCGAAGGGCUUGGAGCAAGCUGCCGACACAGUGCGGGCCACGUGAACAUUCGCUCUUCAGAACAUUGACCAAACAUUGGUGACUUUGA